GGGGCUGUAACGGUUUCGACAGGUUGGCGAACGUUACGUCGUGAUGCAGGUCGAGAGGGAGUCCACUCUCGUUAAUCUAGGCUCAAACAAAAUAGAUGCAAACAACAUCGUACCUUUUGCUCGUAAAGCAGCUCCUGUAGUUGCCUAAUUAACCUCUAAUCGGUUCGAGCGCCACCGACGUGACUCCGUUAAGCGUUGCUGGCAAACCCUCAACGGAUGCUCUAGGGAAAUUCUCUCCGGUUAUACCCUAGCUAAGACUUAACCAGGGCAUCCUACUCGUUGGGAUAAGAACGAGUUCCCGUUCUGAGGACUAGAAGAACUAAACCUGUGAAUGAGUGAUGUAUUAAUACCCAAUUUGGACACGGGUUCGACUCCCGUCAGCUCCAUUC
rnacentral:tmRNA from 1 species